GAUGAACGCUGGCGGCGUGCCUAAUACAUGCAAGUCGAACGGAAAGGUCCUGCUUUUGUUGGGUGACCGGGUGGGGAACCGGGGAGUAACACGUGAGUAAACUGGCCUUACCUUUGGGAUAAACUCCGGAAACCGGGGAUCAUACCGGAUAGGAGCUCCUGCUGCAUGGUGGGGGUUGGAAAGUUUCGGCGGUUGGGGUUGGACUCGAGGCUUAUUAGCUUGGUGGGGGGGUAGUGGCUUACCAAGGCUCUGACGGGUAGCCGGCCUGAGAGGGUGACCGGCCACAUUGGGACUGAGAUACGGCCCAGACGCCUACGGGAGGCAGCAGUGGGGAAUAUUGCACAAUAGGCGGAAGCCUGAUGCAGCAACGCCGCGUGCGGGAUGACGGCCUACGGGUUGUAAACCGCUGUCGCCGGUAACGAAGCGUGAGUGACGGUAAUGGGUAAAGAAGCACCGGCUAACUACGUG
rnacentral:rRNA from 1 species